UGGGGAAUUUUGCACAAUGGAGGAAACUCUGAUGCAGCGACGCCGCGUGAGUGAUGAAGAUCUUCGGAUUGUAAAACUCUGUCCUUAGUGAAGAUAAUGACAGUAACUAAGAAGCAAGCCCUGGCUAAAUACGUGCCAGCAGCCGCGGUAAUACGUAUGGGGCAAGCGUUGUCCGGAAUUAUUGGGCGUAAAGGGUACGUAGGCGGUUUAAUAAGUCCUAAUUAAAAGGCUAUGGCUCAACCAUAGUAUGGUUAGGAAACUGUUGAACUUGAGUAGAUGAGGGGAAAGUGGAAUUCCAUGUGUAGCGGUGAAAUGCGUAGAUAUAUGGAGGAACACCAAUGGCGAAGGCAACUUUCUGGAAUCAAACUGACGCUGAGGUACGAAGGCGUGGGGAGCCAACAGG
rnacentral:rRNA from 1 species